CAGGUGCAUGCCUCUAGCAUGAAGUCAGACAAGUGA
rnacentral:rRNA from 2 species